AUUGAACGCUGGCGGCAUGCUUUACACAUGCAAGUCGAACGGCAGCGCGGGGGCAACCCUGGCGGCGAGUGGCGAACGGGUGAGUAAUGCAUCGGAACGUAUCCUGUAAUGGGGGAUAACUGAUCGAAAGAUUAGCUAAUACCGCAUACGCUCGGGAGAGGAAAGUGGGGGAUCGCAGGACCUCACGUUAUAGGGGCGGCCGAUGUCUGAUUAGCUAGUUGGUGAGGUAAAGGCCCACCAAGGCGACGAUCAGUAGCUGGUCUUAGAGGAUGAUCAGCCAAACUGGGGCUGAGAAACGGCCCAGACUCCUACGGGAGGCAGCAGUGGGGAAUUUUGGACAAUGGGAGCAACCCUGAUCCGGCCAUGCCGCGUGCGGGAAGAAAGCCUUCGGGUUGUAAGCCGCUUUAGUCUAGGAAAAAGGAAUGCAGGAUUAAUACCCUUGUGUUUUGAUGGUACUGGAAGAAUAAGCACCGGCUAACUACGUGCCAGCAGCCGCCGUAA
rnacentral:rRNA from 1 species